CAGACCAUCGCCGUGAGGUAGCCAGUCUGCAACUCAGUGGUGUGCUGAUCCCCAGCCAGCUCCCCAGCUGAUCUCCAUCUCUACCUCUAUCUCGUAUUCUAUCUUUAUCUCUCCCCUCUAUUACUUCUCUCUAUCUCAUCUCUUACAUCUAUCUAUAUUGAAGGCUCCCUAUCUUUUCUGUCCAUCUACCCCUCUAUCUAUUUUGAGAAACUCUAUCUUGCUUUGUCUAUCCAUCUACCCCUCUAUCUAUUUUGAGAAACUCUAUCUUGCUUUGUCUAUCCAUCUACCCCUCUAUCUAUUUUGAGAAACUCUAUCUUGCUUUGUCUAUCCAUCUACCCCUCUAUCUAUUUUGAGAAACUCUAUCUUGCUUUGUCUAUCCAUCUACCCCUCUAUCUAUUUUGAAGGCUCUCUAUCUUUUCUAUCCAUCUACCCCUCUAUCUAUAUUG